rnacentral:rRNA from 1 species
AGCGAACGUUUGCGGCGGGCCUAACACAUGCAAGUCGAACGCACUAGCAAUAGUGAGUGGCGCACGGGUGCGUAACACGUGGGUAAUCAACCCUUCAGCUUGGGAUAACGACUUGAAAGGGUCGCUAAUACCGGAUACGGCGCGGGAGGCUUCGGCUUCUCACGAGAAAGCCUCGCAAGGGGCACUGAAGGACGAGCCUGCGGCCCAUCAGCUAGUUGGUGAGGUAAGAGCUCACCAAGGCGAAGACGGGUAGCUGGUCUGAGAGGAUGAUCAGCCACACUGGAACUGAGACACGGUCCAGACUCCUACGGGAGGCAGCAGUGGGGAAUAUUGCGCAAUGGGCGAAAGCCUGUCGCAGCCACGCCGCGUGAGCGAUGAAGGCCUCGGUCGUAAGCUCUGUGGGAGGAGACGAAGAAAGACCCGUGAAGAAGCGGGCCGUUGACGGUAUCUCCUUAGCAAGCACCGGCUAACUCCGUGCCAGCAGCCGCU